CCUACGGGAGGCAGCAGUGGGGAAUAUUGCACAAUGGGGGAAACCCUGAUGCAGCGACGCCGCGUGAGUGAAGAAGUAUUUCGGUAUGUAAAGCUCUAUCAGCAGGAACGAGACAAGACGGUACCUGACUAAGAAGCCCCGGCUAACUACGUGCCAGCAGCCGCGGUAAUACGUAGGGGGCAAGCGUUAUCCGGAAUCACUGGGUGUAAAGGGAGCGUAGACGGCUGUGCAAGCCUGAAGUGAAAGGCGGGGGCCCAACCCCUGGACUGCUUUGGGAACUGUACGGCUGGAGUGCAGGAGAGGUAAGUGGAAUUCCUAGUGUAGCGGUGAAAUGCGUAGAUAUUAGGAGGAACACCAGUGGCGAAGGCGGCUUACUGGACUGUAACUGACGUUGAGGCUCGAAAGCGUGGGGAGCAAACAGGAUUAGAUACCCCUGUAGUC
rnacentral:rRNA from 1 species